UACGUAGGGUGCGAGCGUUAAUCGGAAUUACUGGGCGUAAAGAGUGCGUAGGCGGUUCCGCAAGUCCGCUGUGAAAGCCCCGGGCUUAACCUGGGAAUGGCAGUGGAAACUAUGGGACUUGAAUCUGGCAGAGGGGGGUGGAAUGCCACGUGUAGCAGUGAAAUGCGUAGAGAUGUGGCGGAACACCGAUGGCGAAGGCAGCCCCCUGGGCUGAGAUUGACGCUCAGGCACGAAAGCGUGGGGAGCAAACAGG
rnacentral:rRNA from 1 species